AGGAACUUCCGGUGGCUUUCAUUUCCUCACUAUUGACUCAGAAACUAGCAUGACAGUGCACAUGACUCAGCAACUUCUUCCGAAGCAGGACGUUAAGUUGGAUAGGCAUAUUCCGGGGAGAAGGUAGCCGAGUCAUAUGAAAAACCAAUGUUUCCAAUUUUUGAGUAUCGUCCAUACUGAGUUGUCUCUGAGGACCCACCAGUUUGUAGUCCAACCAAUCCUUGCAAAAUAUUCCUAUUUUAAUUUAUUUUUGAAAACAGAGAUGAAUAAAAUGAUAAGAAAUGGGUCUCUUACAAUCCGGAAGCAUCUCCGAUACUUGCUGUUCUUGGACUACUUCAUCAUUUCCUAUCAAAGGUUAAGACAUAAUUGUUUGAGCAUUGAAUAAAUGGAUAAGAAACACAAGUAAGAGAAAGAAACAAGAUUGAAAUGUCUACAUCCGAUGUUAUUUCUAAAGUUAUGUUUUAGAUCUGCUUUCAAGUGAGCUGCUUUAAAUAUAAAUAACACGCAAAGAUGGUGUAGAGCAACAGAGAAAACAGUGAUAGUCGUUUGCAAAUGGCUCCGAAGCAACUCCAGGAUAACGAAAUUUAAUGAUCUCCUCCUACAAUUUUAUAAGUAUAUGCUCAAGUACAUGAAACAAAUACUCAAGUCACAGAGAACAACUUCCAGUACAAGGAUUGAGUUAUAUCUAAAUGAGUGACUGUCAAAGGGAGUCCCAUAUGAACCCCCAAACAACCCAGACUGUUGCUGAAACAAUAGAUUAUUCUUCUCAAAGUAACAGCAAGGCACCAUUGCUGAAAACAACACCCACACAACCCAUUGAACAUGAAGAAAUAGAGCUGGUGUCUAUACAGAGCCUUCAUUUUUAUGUGCUAGCAUCCUUGGUACAGCAAGGUACUCUGUCUGCUUCCAAAAAAGAAACUUAAACACCAAGAAAACUACGAACCCUCUGAUCUACGAUGGUUUCUUACCUGCAAGAGGUGCUAAGGCAAUGGUGGCAAAAAAAACAUUGUGGGAAUAAUCAACCAAUAAAUGAUUUGACUUAAGGCCCACUUCACAAUUUGGAACCCAUGUCCACCACUACUUGGGUGAACAAGGAGAAGAAACUAGGUAACCCAAGGAUCUAGAGUAAAACCAAAUAGUACUGGCCUAAAAAAAAUACUGACAAAAUGUUUCCUAAUAAUAUUGUGUUAUAGUCAUAGAUGGGUCAGUACCUUGUUUAGCCAUUAUCAGAGAAGAUUUUUCCUGUAACAAUUGAGCACAGAUAUGGAAACACACAGCAAGACAUUACACAGAGAGUAAAAAAUCUUGGAACACUCAGCCUUAAAUGGGAUGCCUUUAUCAAACUCCUCCCUGAGAGUCAACAGAACACUGCAGGAGAGGCUGAAAGAAUGGAGGCAAGAGGUGGAGGGUUUGCAGGACAUCCCAAGAAAACACAGCCUUCUAAAUCAACAUGAGCAGAUCUCAUGUGAACUCAGAAAACCUGAAGCAACAUGAACAGGGUUUGCCCAGGUCGGGACCAGGUCUUCUGCAUAUAGUGGCUUCCAUUUUUGGGUUUUUAUGGGAUUCCUGAGUGUGCAAACAAGUGGGUCUCUGAUUCUUGUGUCUUCUCAUGGCUGCUUAUCCUUCUGUUGGUCUAUCCAGUCCAGUAUUGAUAUGAUAAUUUUUAUUUUAUCUUAUGUUUUAUUUUAUUAAAGUUUAAUAUUAUCUCUUGGAAACCUAUUCUUUUCUAAUGAGAGAUAGAAAAGGAGAGGAGCUACACCAGAGGAGAGGGAAAGGAAACCGUAAUCAGGUUAUAUUAUAUGAGAAAAGAAUAUAUUUUCCUUUGUAUAAAAGGAACAAUAAUAAUAACAUAGAAAGCUCAUGCUGCCUCAUCAUUCAAGUAUUAUAUUUAGUAUACUGUGACAUUUUAAUUAGCAAAUCUUUAAAUUUAGUUCUCUGUAGUUAAUAGCUAUGAUUCAAACAUUUUCCACUUUCAUCUUCUUUCCUUUAAAUCAAGCUAAAUGUAUUGGCAGAAAUUUGGCAGAAAAAAAGGAAGUAAUAUUACUGUGAUUUGCAGCUACCACAAGUAAUUUUUAAGUUUGGUUUGCUAUCUUUUCCAGAAUGUAUUCCUCAUCCCAGAACCUACAAGGUACUUGCACAAUGCUCUAGGCUCAGUCAAAAUUCUCAUUGUUUUCAAGUGUGGCAUGGACAGUUUUGAGUCACAAGCAAUAAACUCUUCUAUUCUACCUUCCAUAGAAAUACGAUUAGGCUUUUUCAGUUGGCAUGCACUAGGUCAUAGAAUCGUGACCAUAUUUGAAACUUAAACUCUAGGAACUACAUAAAAUUGAAUGAGUAAAUAUUAUGCUUGGUGAUUUUAAGUGGAUGAGUAAUAUCCUUAGAUUCUUUCCAUAUCAUAACUCACAAAUGCAAUAAACAGAAUUGAAAAUCUAUCAAUAGAUGUAUUUGAUCCCAUCAUUUGCCUAAGAAGGUAUUAAGACACUUGAUGUUUAUAAAUAUGUCUAGAAAAGCAACAAAGAAUAACAAACAAUGAAGGAGUAAGGAAUAAGAAUAUAUAUAUAUAUAUAUAUAUAUAGUCACAGCAUUAAAAACAAACAAGGAAUAUAUUCUGGUCUUUUGAAAAGUUUUAAUCAUUAUUUGAACAAUUUAGAAACAGAUAUGUAGAAUUCAGGGGCAAAAUUCUUUUACAAUGUUCUCAGAAAUACUCCAGUUGAAAAGCUGGGACCCCUCACUGAAUUGUUUUCCUGCCUUUCUCUUAUGCUGUAUUAAAUAUUCUCUAUGCUUGUUGAACAGUUCCUAAAGUAAUUAUAUGCAAAAUAACAGCAAGCAGUAUCCAGGAUAGACUUUGAAAAACCUGAAAGAAAACAGUGAUUCAGUCCCUGUCACAUGCUGACACGUGUUGGAAUCGGAAUAUGAUGGCAACAUGCUUUCCUGGGAUUGAAUUUUUAGACAUUAGAAAGGUAUUUUAACAACUCCAGGGCUGAUGGUGAGAGUGUUUUCAUCAUUACCAGUGAGAGAUUGUGAAGGACAGCUCCACUCCAAUAAAAUACAUGCAGUUGAGUAUAAAGGGUAUCUAUCCGGAAAUGUCAUCAAUAAUAGAAUGUAACAUUUAGUGAGGCUCAAAUGCACAGUGCCGACCUUUUGCUUAAUAGACAAGCAGGAGACACUGGGCAUAUGCAUAGAAGCUCCUUCAAAUUUAGAAACAAUAUCCCUACUCAUUGAAUAAAAGCAUGCCCCCCCCUCUCUGUGUGUGUGUGUGUGUGUGUGUGUGUGUGUGUGUGUGUGUGUUUAGUCAGCGUACUAUAAAUAAGGCAACCCUCCAGGUGCUAAUGACUCUUGAAAAUCUCAAUUGCAGCCCCCCAAGGAUGUUAUCAAUGCAAGGAUGGCAGAGAUCUAGGAGACCAAGUAGGCUUUUCCUUGUCUCCCCCUUGUGUGGCAUGCUUCCGGAGUGAUAUCUCUUUGAAGGCUGGUAGUCAAUGACGGCUUAAAUCCUGGAAGACAGGACAACCUAAGACAGAUAGAGUCCAGUAUGCUGGGAAUCCACUGAGGUGGGUGUCAGCAAUGUUCAGGCCAUGGCACCCUGGCUCCUGCUAGGCUGUCAAAAUCUAAAAGCAAAAGGGUAGAGAUGUAGCAGGAAUGACAGGGCCUCCUCUGUAUAAAGGUUGGGGGACCCUGCAGCUGUGAAAGCAUCUCCUGCAGGAGGACCAAAUUGAAGACUUCCUGAGACACCAACUUCCCUGCAGGAGGACCUAAUUUAGGGCUGCUUGAGAGAACAAUGAUUGUUGGUGUAAAUAGUGCUAGCCAAUCAGGAACUGCUGCUUGGAAUAGAUACUUCCUUGGAACCAAUGUGGGUGGGGUGGGUGAAGGGUGUUAAAGGAGCUUGCAGCAGUGCUCUGAUGACUUUGAGACAGACAGCAUUUUUCACCUGCUCCCAGUGUCUGUGCCAUUGGCUCUGCAUCAACUCACCCCCAACCCCAUGGGCAGGAAGGGUCAGAUAGGGUCAGGUGGAGAGCUGUCCAGGUCAUAGGCAACCUCUCACCUAACCUCCCUCUCUUUAUAUGCAAGGUCUCAAGGGUAAGCCCAAGUUGAUUUGCAAUUCAUGAUCCUCCUGACUAAGCCUGCUGAAUGCUGGGAUUACUGGCAUGUAUCACCAUGUCCAACUUAGAAUAUGCAUUUUCUCAAGAACCCUGAUGAAUUAUUUGCACAUAAAACUCAAUGUGAAGCAAGACUGUUCAUUGUAGAAAAUACUCCCUAGAUGUUAAUGGGUUUUUAAAUCUAGGGGAACCACAAAGAAGUUUAACACAAAUAGUUAAUUAAAAGCAAUAAAAAAGGGGCUAAUAUAACUUAAAGCAUACAACCACUCUUUUGGAUGGUAGGUAUAUAUGAGAUCUAGGCAAUGACUAUUAUAAAUAAUGAAUACUUAAGUUGAAAUAGAGAAAUACAACUAGUAAUAUAUUUCUUCCAUUUGCUUUUCAGAUCAAGUAGACUUAACAAAUUUAAAAGUGUACCUAGAAAUUACUACUAAAUCUUGUGGUUUUGUUAUGUCAGUGCUAAAAUAAAAAGUGUUUUCUCUAAAAUGUUUGAAAUUUUAUAACCAAAUGGCAAUUUCCAUCAGAGACACACAGAAACAGAGACAGAGAGACACAGGCAGAGAGAGAGAGAGAGAGAGAGAGAGAGAGAGAGAGAGAGAGAGAGAGAGAGAGAAAGAGAGAGAGAGAGCAGGUCAGAGUAUACAACGGGUAAGAAUGUACAAAGCAAGCAGAAAAAAAAUCACAAGAUUUCUAGAACAAUGGAGAAUAUAGUAUCUUAGGAUUCCCUGAUUUUAUAGGAAGAAAAUGUAUUUUAUACUUAUUUCUGCUACAAAUCAUUCAUAGUAGUCAUGUGUUUGAAUAGUCUAGAAUAAAUAAAAUGAAUAAUUACAAUAUUUAAAUUUAAACAUUUCACUGAUUAGGAUACAUAUAUGUUGUAAUUAGCUUCGUAUAUAAACCUGAUACAGCCUAGAGAUCUCUAAAGAAAUUUUAAGUGAGGAAUUGCCAAAAUCAUAUUGGCCUGUGGUGAUAUCUGUUAGAUACUGUUGGCAUUAAUGAUUGAUGAGAGAGGUCCCAGCCCAUUGUGGGCGACACCAUCAUUAGACAGGUGGGCUUGGGUUGUAUAAGAACGUUAGCCGAACAUGACAAAAUGAGCAAGCUGGACAGCAAUCCAUCAAGCCAUGUUUCUCCACGUUUCUUGCCUCUGGGUUCCUCUCUUCAAUUCCUACCUUGAUUUUCCUCAAGGACGGAUCUGAAUGAGACACAUAAAGUGAAAUCAACAGUUCUUCCCCAAGUUGCAUUUGGUCAGAGUAAUAGCAGUAAAAGGUAAACUAGGGCAAUGUCUUCUUGCAAUAUUAUAUAUGUACUACUCUCAAUAUGUAUAGUAAUUUCAUUAAAUGUUAUGGAAAUAUUCAUCUUUAAAAUAUUUUGAUCACUGUCUUUUCCCAUAGGCUUAGCAGUAUUUUAUUAUUUUUAAGGACUAUAUUAAUUCUCUAAGAUAGUGCUGAUUCUGUUUAGUUAUUUGAAUUUAGAAUGUUAAGUCUCCUGGUGUGAACAAUUGAGUUUUUAAGAGGUUUCGUUUUGUUUGUUUUUAUUUAGUAAAUUUUCACUGGCAAAAUAUGCCAUUAAGCCAUGAUCUUACUGUGCACAAUAUCAAAUAUAAGAAGCCAACCUUAGCUAUCUUCUGGUUAUUGCAAGAGGGAGGAAAAUUUAAGCAAGUUAGUACUUCAUUUUAGCUCUGUGCACAUUUGCUUUUGAAUAUAGCUGUUUCCAAGGAUGUAUCAAGCAGCCUUUGUUUGAUUGGUUACUUAGGUAAUUACUUCCUAAACACGAUGAAGAUUUUUCUUAAAGUAAUGUGUUCAGGUUGUCCAAAUCAGAUCCAACUAGACAUUGCUAGAAUCUCAAUGGCUGGAAUUCAAGAAGUCAAACUUACUUAAGUAUAUCCCACAUGAUUCUCAAGUAUAUUAAAGCUUGGAAAUCAGGGAGAUCUUUACCUUACUAUAAAGAACAGUUUCUCUUUGGAACAAAAAUUAUGGCAUAGCAAUUUAAUAAUCUUUGUCUUCUGAAUUUCUGUAUCAUUAUAAGGGAACUAUUCUAGAAUACCCAUGGAAAUUAUUGAGAGCUAAUUUUUGAUAGUUUUGUAAGGAUUAAGAUGUAUUGCAGCAUGAGGCAAAUAUUGACCUCAGUGCUGGCCUAUUAUUCAUCCAUUACUUGUGUUCAUCUUCUUUGCCACAGCAGGAGACAUCUGACACGUCUCUACCUGUGGCCACAUCGCUUUAGCCAUUUACCUGGAAUACAUGGGAGGAAUUGGAAAGCAGCAGUAUUGAUGGGAAGAAGAGUAGAAAAAUUGAUUUAUAUAGCAAGGUAAAUAGCUAGCGUUUAAAAAAAUCAAAUGACACUUUAAGAAAGUAACUUGAAUCAUAAAACCAAAAAACAAAACAAGCGAAACCAAGCAAGUUUGAUUUGUGAUGGAAGUCUUAUCAGCAGAGGUCAACCAACCUUUAUGGAAUGGGUGAAUUUGUAUUCCAGGGAAAUGACAUAUAUUCAUCUCACUGAAUACACAUAUUCUAGUAGGCACUCCUAUAGAGAAAAAGUUUACAGUAAAGAAAGAAAAACAGGGCUGACAACAAGCAUGGGCUCCUAACUGUGUCUCCUGGGAAAAUAACCAAAAAUAGCUCUUUGUUUUAAGUAAAACUGAGCAGAAGUAGGAGAUUUCCUAUGACCUUUAAAGUGAUAGAGUCCCAUGGGUGAGGCAGGUCGAGAAGGGCACGAAGAGGCUUGGCUUGGACAAAAGCCUGCAGAUCUUCCUCAUCCAACGUAAGGCAGAUUCAUAAGUCACAACUCACUCUUAUUGUAAAGAACAGAACACAGCAGAUAGGUAGGAUUUUUUUGGUUUUGUUUGGCUUUGAUUUUUCUAUUUUAGAGGUUGAUUGAUUAUAUUCUGUUUUGAAUAAUUUAUAUUUGAUAUGACUUAAUCUUUCCUUUAUUAAAAUCAGCAAAGUAGUGCCAAAGAGAUGGCUUAGUGAGUUAGUCUGAUUCGUUUGAGUUGGCAAGACGACAAGACUUAAAAUCAUCUGUGAGGAGUCCCCAAUGAGGGACUGCCUUCAUCAGGUUGGCCUGUGACCAUGGUGGCUGGUUGUCUUGAUGUCAUUACUGAUGUGAGAGAACCAACUCUAAAAGUGUCCAGAGUCACUCUCUAGGUGUGGGUUCUGGUAAAAAAUGAUCUCAACACUGAAAACCAUGUAUUAUUCCUUUCUCUCUCUUGCUCUUAAAUGUAGAUGUGACUAACAAUUUCAAGUUUCUGCCUGAACUUUGCUAAAAUGAUGGACUCUAGUCUGGAAUUGUCCCUUAAAGCUGCUUCAGUGACAGUAUUGUAUCAUCGGAAUAGGAAAAGACACAGGGCUCUUGACACCAUGUCAGACGAUUUGAGUUCUCCCCCAUCACCAACACAGUAGAAAGGGAGAGCUGGUUGCCAGAGUUGUCUGGUGAUCUACAAAUGCACACCACAGCAGAGACAUACAUAUAAAGAAAUAAAUGUAAAAUAAUUUAUAUCAUCUAUAAAAACAUCCAUCAAAAAAGAAUUCUUUAAAAAAUUUUAUUUGUCUAUAUCCAUUAUCCAUGACACUGUGUUGUACAAGAGCAUUUUCAUACAUGAAGGUACCAAACUUCGAAACUUAACCUCCAUACUCCACCUUUCCCCAUUCUCCACACCUCCCUUCUCCAUUGUUCCUCUAGAAAGUUUGGCUUCUAACACACACACACACACACACACACACACACACACACACAUCACAGACCUAAUUUAUUCAAUAUGAUUAUCUCAACUGAUCUGUUUUCUGCAAAUGACAUGAGCUUGCUAUGGCUGAAAAGUAAACAACAAUAUAUAUAUAUGUAUUAUUGUUUAUAUACCCCAUUUCUUUAUGCUUCCCUCUGCUGAUGGACAUCUGUGUUUGUUCUACAAUUUAGCUACUGAGAAUAGAAUACAUGGUCCCUUGAAUUCUGUGCUGUCAUUCUCAGAAGCACAAUGAAGACUCUCUCAGGAGGAAGAUUUUUCUCUUAGCCUUCUACAGCCUUACCCUGACUUCUACUCACAGGAGCCUGACUUUCUCUAAUGGUGCUUGAUGGGCAUCUAGGAAAUCUGAUUUCAUCUUUACAUAAAGCUGCUGCCAAGAAGUCACCAGUGUACGGCAUGACAGGCAGCAAAGUGGAGGAGAGGAACUGACCGUCAAGUCACUCUGAGGUUUCCCUGGUGGUACUUCGGACUAACUUUUGUGUGCGCUGCUCCCAACUGAUCAGCCUUAAAGGAGAUAUGCCUGGCUGUCAAUCCCUGAUGCUUGAUUUCCACAGCUACAGAGUUCCAGUGAGAUGCUGGGGAGUGUCACUUACACAGAAAGGCACUCACAUUACCUCCAGACAUUUCUAUUCCCCUAAUAGGAUAUGAAAGUGCGGAUUAACGCCUUUUGCAUAGCAUUAAAAGCCUGAGAAGGAGAAGCCUUGUUUUGGCCACAAGGGGCCUCCUCCUCAUUUCUGCUCUCUGCUGCCUCAGCUAAUUACUUUCCUUCCUUUCACACUUGAAAGAUGAGUUUUGACUUCACAGAAAAUGAAUUUAAAACAGAGAGUUGGUGUAGCCUCCACAGUUUGGAUGGUUGCCAUGGUGCGCUGUUUCACCUGUAAUUGAAAGUCAGACAACAUGUGGCUUCCAAAAAAAAUGGAAAACUCUUUCUGUUUGAUUCCCAAAAGGCUAAUACUAACAGCUGCUAAAGAGAGACGAAAUGACCGACACCAGAAGGCCAAAUAAGUAAAAGUUUGUGGAACUUAGUUAAGAGUCACCCCUGUGUAACCAUGAAGAGCAAGGAUUCCUUUUAGAAUUUGUCUUUAUCUGUCCCGGAGCCAGGUAUAUGAUUGACAGGUGCCGCCAUAACUUCAAGCUUUAUAGGCGAGAAGAGCCAUGCAAUAUUAACCACCCUUGGUAUUAUUAUCAACUAAUGUUUGUGACUGAUAAAGAAUCAGGCACGGAGGCUAAAUUUACUAAAUGCCUAAUAUAGAUUAUUCUGUUACAUCCUGGCAAAUUUAGUAAAGUUUAAUAGUGGGGUGCACGCUUAACAUGGUAAGAAUGAAAUUACUGGCUUAAUAUUAUUUAUUUAGACAGGAGAUCUUAGAAAAAAUAUAAUUUGUCUGGUCAGGAGUCAUUUUCAUUCUCUUUAAAAGAUUCAUUUCUUCUUACGUUUUAUGUGUAUGAGUGCUCCACCUGCAUGCAAGGCAGGUGCCCAAACAGGUCAGGAGAUGGUGAAGCAUCCUCUGUCAUUAGAAUUAAUAAGGUUGUGGGUACCAUGUAAGCAAUGGGCACAGAACCAGGGGUUUCUCUAAGAGUAGGAAGUAUUCUUAACUGGUGAGUUAUCUCACCCCCCAGAAGUAAAUUUCUCAAAAAAUUAAUUCUUGAAAUACAUAAAAACACAUAAAGAGCCCAACAGAGCCCCCAAGCAACAGAUUUUACAAACACCCAACAACGUCCCUAUAAGGAAUGCUUAAAGGUCAAGAAGCCCUAUCCAUAAGGCCUUAGUUCACCUUUCCCCCCGAACACUUUCAUGUGGAGACAAAAGGGUUAUUCAAAGACAUUAAAAUACAUGGACAUAGAGGGCAGGGAAAGGAAGGAUACUUUUUGGACAUGCUCGGCAAUGGGGCCAACUGCUGCUUCACAGUGUAAGCCUUUGCUUAUCUAAGUUUCUCCGUUUUGAAAGAUGCCUUUCAGUUGUUGGACUCCAGGACUGACCUCACCUCAUGAGAACUCACCCUACUCCUGGAAUCUAAACUGAUUCCUGCUCCUUCCCUGGAACCUUGUUUUAUGACCUCCAAAGGAAUAGAGAUUUGUAGACAAUCUGCUACCCAGGGAAUGUAGGUCCCGCCAAGACCCACUCGCCUCCUUUUCCAGUCUUAGACCUUGCCUCCCUGCAGCAGGAUCGCCACACUCUCUUCUCAGUGGAACGAGAGGAUUGGGAAUUAGGCUGUGAGGAAAAGUAUGCCGUAAAGUUACCAGCUUAAUUAAGUCAUUACAGUUUUUAGGGUUUUUUAAAUACAGGCAAUUUGAAUGUAUAAUUGAGUCUGAGCACAGCCUGGUCCCGUGUUUUCUUUGGUCUGCUCAGAAGCAGAUUGUGAAUGGAAACAGCAGGGAUAGCAUCCUGUGCAAAGAGCAGGUUCCUUAUUUUCCCUGGAGCUCAGACACGAGUUUAUGAACCAUUUUCUGGUUCGUCUAGGGGUAAGGGAACAAGAUGACAGGCUCAGAGGACAGCCCCAGGAGUAGUGUUUUUCUUGACUCUGAGCGUCUCCCUGAUGGUUCUAGGAAUCACAUCUGACUUACGCUUCAGUAGAGCCGGCUACAGAAUACGCUUCGGGAAUGUUCUCUUUAGAAAAAAAAUGAUUCUGAGCUGAGCCCUGAGGUCAGUUAGGAAACCAAAGGGAAAGAUUACAACUCAAUGCUCUUCGAGUCUGAGUAGCAGAGGAUAAGGUCAAUUUAAAUCUCCCUUUGGGAGAGACAUACUUGUGGGAAAAGUAGAAAAGGCCACUAACCUAGCUUCACUAGGUUAGCGACUUGCCUGUGCUCUAAGUACCACCCAUGACUUUGCAGACAUGGUAAUUUUACCAUGCCUUCCUUCAAGCAUGUCAUGGUUUUGUUUUAGAAACAUUUCAGAGGAUUAUCUUGUAACUCAGAUGAACUGUCUUGCCCAGUGCCCACUGCACAAGUAAAUAUGCAGACAGAGAAGAGCUGAAGGUUGGAGGAGAAAGGGUUGUGAGUGCUGAUACAUGUUUCCAUCUGUCGACAAUCGCAUCUACUCCCUUUAAGACCCGUUCAGGAUGAGAGAGUUGAUGUGGGCUGGCAGAAAUGAGAUUGAGCUUGACCUGGGAUCGAUGCCAGCCUAUCAGUGAAGAGAAAAACCUCAGAAAACAAGAAAAACACAUACAUUUAAAACUUACACACCCGUCUUCUAAUGUCUCCAUAUAAAUGACUAUGGAGACUUUUGUGGGAUUAGAAUCUGAAUCUUCUAGUUUCUGAUACAAGUCUAUGUAAACUAGGAUUGCAAUUUGACUUGCAUUUGAAGCUGGGACUGUCUGGCUUCUCAAACUGUAGCAUCCAGGGAAAUGAUUUGUAAACUCCCAAGCACGCGAACACGAUCUCUUCCCUCCUAAACGUUACUUGAUUAAAUCUUACUUUAUGUAAAUUCAGUGUGAGAACUUGGAUUUCUUGAAAUAAAACGUGCACCAUCGCCAUCGAGUAUAUUUUAAACAGAUUCCCUAAUGAGCUUAAAUUCUUGAAUUAAAAGGAAACUAUGAUGAACGCACAGAGCUCCGAGUAAAUACCGAGUCCUGCAUUAUGCAGAGAUAAUCAGAUGGGAAAGAUGUGGUUGUGGAGGCAAGAAUGAAUGCCAAAUGCAUGAGUUAGGUUCCAGUUCUAAAUAAUGUUUCCCUGGAAUAUGUUUACAUGCAGUAGGGAAGUUCUUGGUGGAUCGCCUGAAAAUAGGGCUAGUGUUUUUUGCGGAUGGUGGGUUUGGUCUGUUGAUGUUUGUUUUAGAUGGCCAUGUUUAUGCCUUGCUGUGAAGAAUACUGGAAAGCAAACUCUCUGUGACAAAUUGGAUCUUGGACAGACAGGCUGGGUAGGUACCGUUAAAUCUGUAAGGGCUCGAUUUCUCUGUCUCUGACACUCAUUCCUUCAUUGCCAACCCCAGGUAUGAUCAAGUCAUACAAAAAAACAUGUGGUGGUGUUCUUUGGCUUUCUCGUACAAAAUUCAUAGAAAUUCAUUCAUUCAUUAUUCAUUAUUCAUAUAAAAAUUAAUUCAUAUUUUUCCACAUGUACAUCGGCAGCUCCUCAGAUUUCCGAGUAUCACUCUUUCAUCAUAAGGUCAUUAAACCCCACAAUUCUGAGGCGUUAUUGAAGCUAGGUUAGUAACUUGCCCUUUAAUGUUGUAAAGUACACCUGUGUUGAUAGCAAAAUAUGACUGGUCUAAAUACUGAAAGGGACCUAUAUUUCUACCUUAAGGGCUUAUUAAAAAAUAUAGGUUCAUCAGAUCCAUAGGUGGCAGUAAAUCUGAUGCCUCUAGUCUAAACCGAAGAUAUCACGUUGAGGGUCUGUGACCACGAGGACCAAAUUGCCUGUGAGAAGUACAAUAGGUAUUCUAGACAUGUUUGUCAGGAAGUCACAGGGUACUGGUUUCUGGCUCAAUGAGGCCUUGAGUCAGCUUAGUAGGAAACAUGGGCUAUGGGCAGUAAGACAAGGUUAAGUGCAUUAGACGCCUAUCCAACCCUUCUUAAGCUCUUUGGCUAAAAACUAGACAUAUUCCAGGUGCCCAGUGGAUGGCUACGUAAAUAAGAUUUUAAAGGAUGGGCUCUGCCAGCUCACAAAGUCUUAUGCUAGGGAAAACAUAAAGAUAUGGCCUUGAGGUGCUUGGCCAUGAGCUUUGAAUUUAUCUUACAUAACCAGGUCAUGACUGGAGAGGGGGGAAUUCAGCUUCCUAUAAUGCUCUGUUGCAUGUCUUAACAUUUGUAAAGAAGGCCCUAAGGGAAGGAAGUUCUUUAUAAAUGCUAUAGAUUUCUGGGCUGCCUCUCUUCAGGUAUAGUCCUUUGAGAUCAGGUAAUCAAGAAGAAUGGGGUAGUUUAGAAACAUCUCUAUAAGGAAAUGGGUGACUGGAAUGGUUUGCAGAUCCGCCUUGGAACAGUUAUGUUAGACAUAUGCAGUCAUGACUUGAUUAUCAACCUAUGGUGUGUACAAAUAAAGUGGAUCUUGCAUGCAUAAAAGAGAGGCUCACAGGGCUGCGUGCAGAUAGAAUUCCUAAAAUAGAUCUUUGUUGUUGCCAAUACCUGUAGUAUUGGAGACUGGAAAGAGAUACUCUCCUUUGUAGUCUUCAUUGGAUCUUUAUAUAUUUUUUAUCUUUUUUCUCUUUUGAAGAAAUAACCCAACUUACUACUAUAUGUAAGGUAGCCUAGAAAGCCAUUUGAUCGAUGUUAAAAUAAGUUGAACAGUCUGUACUAAAUUCAAAGUGGAAGUUCAAGUGCGAAGCCACAGUGUUUAUAAAAUUACAGAUAAAAAAGGAAAAAGAAGAUGAACGAAAGAAAGAACAGGUGGGAGAAAAUCAAACCAAACCAAACCAAGCCAGGAACAACGACAGCAACAGCAACAACAACAAUAAAAAAUUCAAAACACCGGAAUGCUUUAA